CCUACGGGAGGCAGCAGUGAGGAAUAUUGGUCAAUGGGCUUACGCCUGAACCAGCCAAGUCGCGUGAGGGAAGACUGCCCUAUGGGUUGUAAACCUCUUUUGUCAGGGAGCAAUUGGCGCUACGUGUAGCGUUAUCGAGAGUACCUGCAGAAAAAGCAUCGGCUAACUCCUUGCCAGCAGCCGCGGUAAUACGGAGGAUGCGAGCGUUCUCCGGAUUUAUUGGGUUUAAGGGGUGCGUAGGCGGAAUGCCAAGUCAGCGGUAAAAUCGCGGGGCUCAACCUCGCUCCGCCGUUGAAACUGGCGUGCUUGAGUGGGCGAGAAGUAUGCGGAAUGCGUGGUGUAGCGGUGAAAUGCAUAAAUAUCACGCAGAACUCCGAUUGCGAAGGCAGCAUACCGGCGCCCAACUGACGCUGAAGCACGAAAGCGUGGGUAUCGAACAGGAUUAGAUACCCGGGUAGUC
rnacentral:rRNA from 1 species